AACGAACGCUGGCGGCAGGCCUAACACAUGCAAGUCGAGCGAAGCCUUCGGGCUUAGCGGCGGACGGGUGAGUAACGCGUGGGAACGUGCCCUUUGGUACGGAGUAGCCCCGGGAAACUGGGAGUAAUACCGUAUGUGGUCGAGAGACGAAAGAUUUAUCGCCAAAGGAUCGGCCCGCGUUGGAUUAGGUAGUUGGUGGGGUAAUGGCCUACCAAGCCGACGAUCCAUAGCUGGUUUGAGAGGAUGAUCAGCCACACUGGGACUGAGACACGGCCCAGACUCCUACGGGAGGCAGCAGUGGGGAAUCUUAGACAAUGGGGGAAACCCUGAUCUAGCCAUGCCGCGUGAUCGAUGAAGGCCUUAGGGUUGUAAAGAUCUCUCAGUGGGGAAGAUAAUGACUGUACCCACAGAAGAAGCCCCGGCUAACUCCGUGCCAGCCGCCGCGGUAACAC
rnacentral:rRNA from 1 species